CCCAAUGAGGUGUGCACUAUUGCUGC
rnacentral:piRNA from 1 species